GACGAACGCUGGCGGCGUGCCUAAUACAUGCAAGUCGAGCGGACUGAUUCAGAGCUUGCUCUUAUGACGUUAGCGGCGGACGGGUGAGUAACACGUGGGCAACCUGCCCUGUAGAUCGGGAUAACACCGAGAAAUCGGUGCUAAUACCGGGUAAUAUCUGAGAUCACAUGAUCUUAGGUUAAAAGAUGGCUCCGGCUAUCACUACAGGAUGGGCCCGCGGCGCAUUAGCUAGUUGGUAAGGUAAUGGCUUACCAAGGCGACGAUGCGUAGCCGACCUGAGAGGGUGAUCGGCCACACUGGGACUGAGACACGGCCCAGACUCCUACGGGAGGCAGCAGUAGGGAAUCUUCCGCAAUGGACGAAAGUCUGACGGAGCAACGCCGCGUGAGUGAUGAAGGGUUUCGGCUCGUAAAGCUCUGUUGUUAGGGAAGAAACAGUACCGAACGAACUAGGUCGGUACCUUGACGGUACCUAACCAGAAAGCCACGGCUAACUACGUG
rnacentral:rRNA from 1 species